AGAACGCCUCUUUUAAUUGCAGUCUUAACAUCUAACCAAGGUAUAGGUGAUCUGGUGAAAGGCGGUACUCCUUCAGUUUUGCCAUCCUCGAACCCAAUUACAACCAUGGCUAAAGAAAUUCACUUCAAUCAUGAUUGUUCGACUACAACCAAUUUCCUGGAUUUUAUGUAGACGAUUGAAUUUCAAUUAGUUGUCUGCAAUUAUUAUCAAGUUGCUGAAUCAAGCAAUCGGCUCAACGGUUUCAAUUAGGAGUGGUGAUUAAGUAGGCGAGCUCCUCCAUUUGCACAUCAGUUGAUUCUAAUCGUUCAAGUUGAUUCGCUCCGAACAAAGACCCACCACAUCGCUAUUGACUCCAAAUGAAAAUGCACAAGGAAGCCUACAACGCAAGUUGUGACAACGGAGGGGAAAUGUGGAUGCCAGUGCUACAAUUGACUGAAAACAACAAGCUCGAUAACUGAAGUCGUUUUUUCAUGUUUUGUUUUGGAAAGUUACAUCAGUUAUGUCGUUUAAAACUUUUGCACGGAGUUGUCCAGUUCUUUAGUUGUUUCAACUUUGGCAAACGCUUGGUUCCUGCAGACCAUUAAAAACAUGCCCUCUUUCAUGAAUCUCUUCUUUUGUAGAUGAAUGGUUUAUAAAUAAUU